rnacentral:rRNA from 1 species
GGUUAAAAAGCUCGUAGUUGGAUUUCUGUUGAGGUCGACCGGUGUACACUUCGUGUAUUAUUUGGUUCGGUCUCGGCAUCCUCUUGGGGAACGUUUCUGGACUUUAUUGGACAGGGCGAGAUUCAAGACUUUUACUUUGAGGAAAUUAGAGUGUUCACGGCAGGCAAGUGCUUUGAAUACAUUAGCAUGGAAUAAUAAUAUAGGACCUUCGUUCUAUUUUGUUGGUUUCCAGAACUUAGGUAAUGAUUAAUAGGGACAAUUGGGGGCAUUCGUAUUAACGCGUCAGAGGUGGAAUUCUUGGAUUGCGUUACGACGAACUACUGCGAAAGCAUUUGCCAAAGAUGUUUUCAUUGAUCAAGAACGAAAGUAUGGGGAUCGAAGACGCUUAGAUACCGUCGUAGUCUAUACCAUAAACUAUGCCAACUAGAGAUUGGAGGGGUUCUCCUAUGUGGCUCCUUCAGCAUCUUAUGAGAAAUCAAAGUUUUUGGGUUCCGGGGGGAGUAUGGUCGCAAGGCUGAAACUUAAAGGAAUUGACGGAAGGGCACCACCAGGAGUGGAGCCUGCGGCUUAAUUUGACUCAACACGGGAAAACUUACCAGGUCCAGACAUAGUAAGGAUUGACAGAU